CACGUAGGGCGCAAGCGUUGUCCGGAAUUAUUGGGCGUAAAGAGCUCGUAGGCGGUUCUGUUGCGUCCGCUGUGAAAACUCGGGGGCUUAAACCCCCGAGCCUGCAGUGGAUACGGGGCAGACUAGAGGGUAGGUAGGGGGAGAAUGGAAUUCCCGGUGUAGCGGUGAAAAUGCGCAGAUAUCAGGAGGAACACCGGUGGCGAAGGCGGUUCUCUGGGCAUUACCUGACGCUGAGGAGCGAAAGUGUGGGGGAGCGAACAGG
rnacentral:rRNA from 1 species